AGAGUUUGAUCCUGGCUCAGGAUGAACGCUGGCGGCGUGCUUAACACAUGCAAGUCGAGCGAAGCACUCGGCCUUGAAUCUUCGGAGGAAAGGCGGUUUGACUGAGCGGCGGACGGGUGAGUAACGCGUGGGCAACCUGCCCCAUACGGGGGGAUAACAGUUAGAAAUGACUGCUAAUACCGCAUAAGACCGCGGUGCCGCAUGGCACAGCGGUAAAAACUCCGGUGGUAUGGGAUGGGCCCGCGUCUGAUUAGCUAGUUGGCGGGGUAACGGCCCACCAAGGCGACGAUCAGUAGCCGACCUGAGAGGGCGACCGGCCACAUUGGGACUGAGACACGGCCCAAACUCCUACGGGAGGCAGCAGUGGGGAAUAUUGCACAAUGGGGGAAACCCUGAUGCAGCGACGCCGCGUGAGCGAUGAAGUAUUUCGGUAUGUAAAGCUCUAUCAGCAGGGAAGAAGAUGACGGUACCUGACUAAGAAGCCCCGGCUAACUACGUGCCAGCAGCCGCGGU
rnacentral:rRNA from 1 species